UUUCCUUCCAUUUUGUCAGAGGCGCUGAUGUCGGCAUUGUGAUUGGUGGAACAUGACUUUUGACAAAUCCUGCGCUAUCUGUGAAUCUGUGUUUAGUGUUCGUGUUCGUUCGUUCGUUGUCGUUCAGUCAUUUUAUAUGGUCGGUUUAUGUGAUGUUGAUGUGUUUGUGUCACCAUAAAAAGCUGAUAUUCAGUCGUGUUUUUUGAUAUUUUGUAAUCGAGUACCUUUUUAAAGGUCUAAUGGCUCCCAUCAGGUGUUGUGUGCAGACGGAGGAAAAAUUCAACGAGUAAACAUAUAUUUAAUCCAAAUUAAAUACUCAUAUUUCUAUGUAAAAUGUCACAUUAUUGUAUAAAUAAAUAAUUAAGAA
rnacentral:lncRNA from 1 species